rnacentral:lncRNA from 1 species
CUCACACAUAAACAAGCACACACAUGACUUAUUCUUCUGAGACCUUAUAGAGUUAAGAAGUCGGAUGACAAUGAGGUAACACAUUUGCAUGAAUGAAAGGCUCAGGAAGUUCUACUCACAACGCUCUUGUCCUUUGUUCAGGAUAUCCACCCCUCCUCAGCUCCACACCCCCACUUCCAAGCUCUGCCAGAAAUCAUGUUAUUAGCUUCAAAGUGAUGAAGACAACGUCAUCCAACAGGCUUAGUGGCAGGCUGCCUGUGUAUGGAACAAGCCCCAACUCUGGUCAGAAGAGGCGACUGCUGCUUUUCUGUUAAAGAUGGGAAACCCUGGUACUGUUUGGGGCUUAGGAAGAUGGGUUGCUCCUCUAUUUUUUCUUUUCAAAGCUUCACCUGCUUAACUCGUGCCAAUUUACAAACAACGAAUCAGAGUGUUGUUUUCUCAGUGAGGCCCAGUUGUCCUCUGCAGUCCUUGCCAUUAAAUCAGGAAGUGGCAGGUAGGAGGCAAAAAUGUCAAACAAUGAUCAAAGGCUCAAGAGAAGGAUUGCUGGGGUUAGCUAAUGGGCUAGCUUGGAGCAGUGUCAAGUGUUCAGGUGGGGGUUAGUAAAUAUUUUUUUUUUACUAAUGAUGAUGUGCUGAUAUAAUUUAGCCUGGUGAAGAUGAUAUCCAGGGGAAACUUUAACAACCUUCUAAUAUGUGGGAAGGAAAUAUUAUGUUGAAAGUACAGAGAGGAG